AAGUCAUGUUGAUUAAAAUUUCUUAGAAGGCCCUUGUAUCUCUCCCAAGCUUCAUAUAAGGACUCACUAAUUUCUUGUUGGAAGUUGGCAAUCAUCUUUUUAAGUUU